rnacentral:rRNA from 1 species
UACGGAGGGGACUAGCGUUGUUCGGAAUUACUGGGCGUAAAGCGAGUGUAGGCGGUCUGAAAAGUCAGGUGUGAAAGCCCCGGGCUCAACUCGGGAAGUGCACUUGAAACUGCCAGGCUAGAGUGUCGGAGAGGUUGGUGGAAUUCUCGGUGUAGAGGUGAAAUUCGUAGAUAUCGAGAGGAACACCGGUGGCGAAGGCGGCCAACUGGACGAACACUGACGCUGAGACUCGAAAGCGUGGGGAGCAAACAGG